GAUGAACGCUGGCGGCGUGCCUAAUACAUGCAAGUCGAGCGAACAGAUAAGGAGCUUGCUCCUUUGACGUUAGCGGCGGACGGGUGAGUAACACGUGGGUAACCUACCUAUAAGACUGGAAUAACUCCGGGAAACCGGGGCUAAUGCCGGAUAACAUUUAGAACCGCAUGGUUCUAAAGUGAAAGAUGGUUUUGCUAUCACUUAUAGAUGGACCCGCGCCGUAUUAGCUAGUUGGUAAGGUAACGGCUUACCAAGGCAACGAUGCGUAGCCGACCUGAGAGGGUGAUCGGCCACACUGGAACUGAGACACGGUCCAGACUCCUACGGGAGGCAGCAGUAGGGAAUCUUCCGCAAUGGGCGAAAGCCUGACGGGGCAACGCCGCGUGAGUGAUGAAGGUCUUCGGAUCGUAAAACUCUGUUAUUAGGGAAGAACAAAUGUGUAAGUAACUGUGCACGUCUUGACGGUACCUAAUCAGAAAGCCACGGCUAACUACGUG
rnacentral:rRNA from 1 species